AGCACAAGGGAGUUUACUUCUGAGGUGGCGAGCGGCGGACGGGUGAGUAAUGCCUAGGGAUCUGCCCAGUCGAGGGGGAUAACAGUUGGAAACGACUGCUAAUACCGCAUACGCCCUACGGGGGAAAGGAGGGGACCUUCGGGCCUUCCGCGAUUGGAUGAACCUAGGUGGGAUUAGCUAGUUGGUGAGGUAAUGGCUCACCAAGGCGACGAUCCCUAGCUGUUCUGAGAGGAUGAUCAGCCACACUGGGACUGAGACACGGCCCAGACUCCUACGGGAGGCAGCAGUGGGGAAUAUUGCACAAUGGGGGAAACCCUGAUGCAGCCAUGCCGCGUGUGUGAAGAAGGCCUUCGGGUUGUAAAGCACUUUCAGUAGGGAGGAAAGGGUGUAGUUUAAUAAACUAUAUCUGUGACGUUACCUACAGAAGAAGGACCGGCUAACUCCGUGCCAGCAGCCGCGGUAAUACGGAGGGUCCGAGCGUUAAUCGGAAUUACUGGGCGUAAAGCGUGCGCAGGCGGUUUGUUAAGCGAGAUGUGAAAGCCCUGGGCUCAACCUAGGAAUAGCAUUUCGAACUGGCGAACUAGAGUCUUGUAGA
rnacentral:rRNA from 1 species